rnacentral:lncRNA from 12 species
AUGGAGGGUAUAUUGGAAAAUAUUCCUCUUUUAUUUUGUUUCUCCAUUCCUCACCACUCUUAUCUGAAUUUGUGGCAGGCAAGAGCUCUGCAAGUGUCUCCUGUUCACAUCCGUCAAGUGGUAUUUGGACAACACCCGUCCAGGAGAGCAAGAUUGUGUGCUUCACUAGACAAGAUUCAUCUUGCACUUGUGGAAUCUGACUAAGUCUCUGCUCCCACAGUCCUGCCUCCGCUUUGGCUUUCCAACAUCCAAACACGCAGGACUGCCUCAUCACCUGUCGUUCUGCUUUUACUUUCUGGCUGUGCUGGCACUUUUGCACAUUCACUGCCAAGAACAGCAGCACUUUUACCUGUUAUUUCAUUUAUUUUUAUUUUAUUGCACCCACUCAGAUAAAGCAUUGCAAUGUAAAAGAAUC